UGGUGGAGUGAUUUGUCUGGUUAAUUCCGAUAACGAACGAGACUCUAGCCUAUUAAAUAGUCGGCGGAUGUUUUUGUCCGUUGCACUUCUUAGAGGGACAGAGGGCUUCUAGCCUUACGAAAUUGAGCAAUAACA
rnacentral:rRNA from 1 species